rnacentral:tRNA from 1 species
GCCGAUGUAGCUCAGCUUUGGCCAGAGCGCUGUCCUGGUACGACAGAGGCCGCCGGUUCGACUCCGGCCUUCGGCU